rnacentral:sRNA from 1 species
UGGGGGGAUUGACCCUAUCGAGGUGCGGGGGACAGCGAGGCGUGUGUGUGACGUGCUCGAGGGCGGACGCUCCGAGAUUGUAUUCGAACAGAUAAUUGGAUACCUGGGAUGAAGUGCGGCGGUGGAAUCGGAUUACGUGCGUUACGGGGCACUGUCCUGGUGUUGUGUUGGGUAGGAAGAACAUCCUCUUGUUCGUGACGGAGGCGUCACUUCGUUUCCCGCCGGUAUUUCGAAAAACCCAUCUCGUCUGGUAUCAUCGUUCUCAAUUGCGGUUUUUUGUACUUUUCUUCCAGUUCUGGCUGUGAUACAAAGGACGCUGUUCACUUGUCAGAUAGUUAACUACCUUCGUGGUCCUGCUUUUCCUCCCCGCAGACCAGGAUUAUGUUUUCCGUGUCGAUGAUGCCAGUUACAGUGUGGAAAAAAUGAAUAGACCGGCGGUGCACUUACUGUAUAUAAUGGAUAGAUUUUAAAGGGACAAUAAAAAAAGUUAAAAAUUUUUCAGAAGCCA